rnacentral:rRNA from 1 species
GAUGAACGCUGGCGGCGUGCCUAAUACAUGCAAGUCGAGCGAACAGACGAGGAGCUUGCUCCUCUGACGUUAGCGGCUGACGGGUGAGUAACACGUGGAUAACCUACCUCUAAUACUGGGAUAACUUCGGGAAACCGGAGCUAAUACCGGAUCAUAUAUUGAACCGCAUGGUUCAAUAGUUAAAGACGGUUUUGCUGUCACUUAUAGAUGGUUCCGCGCCGCAUUAGCUAGUUGGUAAGGUAACGGCUUACCAAGGCAACGAUGCGUAGCCGACCUGAGAGGGUGAUCGGCCACACUGGAACUGAGACACGGUCCAGACUCCUACGGGAGGCAGCAGUAGGGAAUCUUCCGCAAUGGGCGAAAGCCUGACGGAGCAACGCCGCGUGAGUGAUGAAGGUCUUCGGAUCGUAAAACUCUGUUAUUAGGGAAGAACAAAUGUGUAAGUAACUAUGCACGUCUUGACGGUACCUAAUCAGAAAGCCACGGCUAACUACGUG